rnacentral:rRNA from 1 species
UUGGAGGGCAAUCUGGUGCCAGCAGCCGCGGUAAUUCCAGCUCCAAUAGCGUAUACUAAAGUUGUUGCAGUUAAAAGGCUCGUAGUUGAACCUUGGGUCUGGCUGGCCGGUCCGCCUCACCGCGAGUACUGGUCCGGCUGGACCUUUCCUUCUGGGGAACCUCAUGGCCUUCACUGGCUGUGGGGGGAACCAGGACUUUUACNGUGAAAAAAUUGAGUGUUCAAAGCAGGCCUUUGCUCGAAUACAUUAGCAUGGAAUAAUAGAACAGGA